rnacentral:rRNA from 1 species
AAUCAACGCUGGCGGCGUGCCUCAGACAUGCAAGUCGAACGAUUAAAGCUCUCUUCGGAGAGUGCAUAGAGUGGCGCACGGGUGAGUAACACGUAAGUAAUCUACCUUCGAGUGGGGGAAUAACGUCCGGAAACGGACGCUAAUACCGCAUAAUGCAGCGGCAUCGUAAGAUGACAGUUGUUAAAGAUUUAUCGCUUGAAGAGGAGCUUGCGGCAGAUUAGCUAGUUGGUAAGGUAAUGGCUUACCAAGGCUACGAUCUGUAACCGGUCUUAGAGGACGGUCGGUCACACUGACACUGAAUAACGGGUCAGACUCCUACGGGAGGCAGCAGUCGGGAAUUUUGGGCAAUGGGCGAAAGCCUGACCCAGCAACGCCGCGUGAAGGAUGAAGUAUUUCGGUAUGUAAAUUUCGAAAGAAUAGGAAGAAUAAAUGACGGUACUAUUAUAAGGUCCGGCUAACUACGUGCCAGCAGCCGCGGUAAU